UGAAGAAUGUGGAGGCUUGGACA
rnacentral:piRNA from 1 species